rnacentral:misc_RNA from 1 species
GGAACAUGCAUCAGUAUGAAUUUUCUCUCCUUCACACACAAUGCACAAGAAAUAGGUUACUCGUGCAGAAAAGCGAAUAUAAAGGAAGGAAAUUUAGAUGGUUAUUUGUGGAAGAUCUAAGUCUUAUAUUUGAGUGCCAAAUUUUCACUCUGUCGAUCCUCAUUAAUAUUUCCUUAAAUUUAAGGACUAAUUUUUAAUUGCUUUCAUACAUUUGUGUACCCAAAAUUCAUGAUUUUAAUCAA